AGCUCCAAUAGCGUAUACUAAAGUUGUUGCAGUUAAAAAGCUCGUAGUUGGAUUUCUGACAUGGUGAGCCUAGCCCGGGUAACAUUUUCGUUCUCGUUGAGCUGGUGCGCAUCGGUCAUCCUUCAGGAGAGUGUUUCUGCCCUUGAUUGGGUUGGAAAUAGGAUCCUGAUCGUUUACUUUGAAAAAAUUAGAGUGUUCAAAGCAGGCAUUUGCUGUGAAUACAUUAGCAUGGAAUAAUAAGAUAGGACUUCGGCUCUAUUUUGUUGGUUUCUAGAACUGAAGUAAUGAUUGAUAGGGAUAGUUGGGGGUGCUAGUAUUCAACGGCCAGAGGUGAAAUUCUUGGAUUCGUUGAAGACUAACUUAUGCGAAAGCAUUCACCAAGGAUGUCUUCUUUAAUCAA
rnacentral:rRNA from 1 species